UGCAGUCGAACGGCAGCGCGGGGGCAACCCUGGGCGGCGAGUGGCGAACGGGUGAGUAAUACAUCGGAACGUGUCCUGGAGUGGGGGAUAGCCCGGCGAAAGCCGGAUUAAUACCGCAUACGCUCUAUGGAGGAAAGCGGGGGAUCUUCGGACCUCGCGCUCAAGGGGCGGCCGAUGGCAGAUUAGCUAGUUGGUGGGGUAAAGGCCUACCAAGGCGACGAUCUGUAGCUGGUCUGAGAGGACGACCAGCCACACUGGGACUGAGACACGGCCCAGACUCCUACGGGAGGCAGCAGUGGGGAAUUUUGGACAAUGGGGGCAACCCUGAUCCAGCAAUGCCGCGUGUGUGAAGAAGGCCUUCGGGUUGUAAAGCACUUUUGUCCGGAAAGAAAACCGCUUCUCUAAUACAGAGGCGGGAUGACGGUACCGGAAGAAUAAGCACCGGCUAACUACGUGCCAGCAGCCGCGGUAAUACGUAGGGUGCAAGCGUUAAUCGGAAUUACUGGGCGUAAAGCGUGCGCAGGCGGUUCGCUAAGACCGAUGUGAAAUCCCCGGGCUUAACCUGGGAACUGCAUUGGUGACUGGCGGGCUAGAGUAUGGCAGAGGGGGGUAGAAUUCCACGUGUAGCAGUGAAAUGCGUAGAGAUGUGGAGGAAUACCGAUGGCGAAGGCAGCCCCCUGGGCCAAUACUGACGCUCAUGCACGAAAGCGUGGGGAGCAAACAGGAUUAGAUACCCUGGUAGUCCACGCCCUAAACGAUGUCAACUAGUUGUCGGGUCUUCAUUGACUUGGUAACGAAGCUUACGCGUGAAGUUGACCGCCUGGGGAGUACGGUCGCAAGAUUAAAACUCAAAGGAAUUGACGGGGACCCGCACAAGCGGUGGAUGAUGUGGAUUAAUUCGAUGCAACGCGAAAAACCUUACCUACCCUUGACAUGUACGGAAUCCUGCUGAGAGGUGGGAGUGCCCGAAAGGGAGCC
rnacentral:rRNA from 1 species